UACUGUUUGUGAUGAUUUUGUUAAACAAUGGGAAUCUCUCUGAAAGAGAGUGAGGAGAACUUUUAUACUGAAACAGUA
rnacentral:snoRNA from 1 species